rnacentral:rRNA from 1 species
GCCGAACGCUGGCGGCGUGCUUAACACAUGCAAGUCGAACGGAAUGACGAACGGGUUAGUAACUCGUGGGUGACCUGCAAUGCACUUCGGGAUAAGCAUGGGAAACUGGGUCUAAUACCGGAUAGUGUGGGAUGGGCCCGCGGCCUAUCAGCUUGUUGGUGGGGUAAGGGCCUACCAAGGCGGCGACUGGUAGCCGUCCUGGGAGGUUGGACGGCCACAUUGGGACUUGGCCCCUGCCCAGACUCCUACGGGAGGCAGCAGUGGGGAAUAUUGCACAAUGGGCGGAAGCCUGAUGCAGCGACUCCGCGUGGGGGAUGAUGGCCUUCGGGUUGUAAACUCCUUUCACCAUCGACGCGGUAGAUGGAGAAGAAGCACCGGCUAACUACGUGCCAGCAGCCGCGGUAAUAC